GGUAGAGCGCUCCACCUGUAAUGGAGAGGUCCCGGGUUCGAUACCCGGACCAGGCG
rnacentral:tRNA from 1 species